UACAGAGGUCUCAAGCGUUGUUCGGAUUCAUUGGGCGUAAAGGGUGCGUAGGCGGCGCGGUAAGUCGGGUGUGAAAUCUUGGAGCUUAACUCCGAAACUGCAUUCGAUACUGCCGUGCUUGAGGACUGGAGAGGAGACUGGAAUUUACGGUGUAGCGGUGAAAUGCGUAGAUAUCGUAAGGAAGACCAGUGGCGAAGGCGGGUCUCUGGACAGUUCCUGACGCUGAGGCACGAAGGGCAGGGGAGCAAACGGG
rnacentral:rRNA from 1 species